AUUGAACGCUGGCGGCAUGCCUAACACAUGCAAGUCGAGCGGCAGCGCGGGGCAACCCUGGCGGCGAGCGGCGGACGGGUGAGUAAGGCAUCGGAAUCUGCCCUGAUGUGGGGGAUAACGUAGGGAAACUUACGCUAAUACCGCAUACGACCGAGAGGUGAAAGCGGGGGACCGAAAGGCCUCGCGCAGCAGGAUGAGCCGAUGUCCGAUUAGCUAGUUGGUGGGGUAAAGGCCUACCAAGGCGACGAUCGGUAGCUGGUCUGAGAGGAUGAUCAGCCACACUGGGACUGAGACACGGCCCAGACUCCUACGGGAGGCAGCAGUGGGGAAUAUUGGACAAUGGGGGCAACCCUGAUCCAGCAAUGCCGCGUGUGUGAAGAAGGCCUUCGGGUUGUAAAGCACUUUUAUCGGGAACGAAACACCGUGGGUUAAUACCCUGCGGGACUGACGGUACCCGAGGAAUAAGCACCGGCUAACUCCGUG
rnacentral:rRNA from 1 species